AUCGCUUCUCGGCCUUUUGGCUAAGAUCAAGUGUAGUAUCUGUUCUUAUCAGUUUAAAAACGUAAAGCCGAGUCUCUUUAAGCUUGGCAGGGGUCUGACAUGACUAAGGCUGCUAUUAUUAUUAUUAUUAUUAUUAUUAUUAUUAUUAUUACUACUACUACUA
ensembl:snRNA LOC120097256 U2 spliceosomal RNA